rnacentral:tRNA from 2 species
UGGGAUGUAGUGUAACGGUAACACACCAGACUUUGACUCUGAUAUUGUAGGUUCGAGCCCUGCCAUCCCAGCCA